rnacentral:rRNA from 1 species
UACGUAGGGUGCUAGCGUUGUUCGGAAUCAUUGGGCGUAAAGCGCGUGUAGGCUGUCAAGCAAGUCAGAUGUGAAAUCCCUGGGCUCAACCGAGGAAGUGCAUCCGAAACUGCUUGGCUAGAAGACGGUAGAGGAAGGUGGAAUUCCUAGUGUAGAGGUGAAAUUCGUAGAUAUUAGGAGGAAUACCGGUGGCGAAGGCGGCCUUCUGGGCCGAUCUUGACGCUGAGACGCGAAAGCGUGGGUAGCAAACAGG